rnacentral:lncRNA from 1 species
CAUCAAAACAUAUAAAAAGGAAUGAUCAGAUUUCUUUUUCAAUCAGAAAUCUACAGAAGACUCGCAGAAAAUGAAGUACUUAGUAUUGCUUUUGGUCAUUGUCGCUGUAUUAGGAUACGCCUACAGCCAGACAACUGAACCAAAGAUAUAUGAUGAAGACGGAGAUCAAUUAAAUUCCAUUCUCUGAACGUAUUUUCUUGUCCAAAAUGCGCUUACCAU